UCUUUAUCAACACCUUUCAGAACAUCCUUCCUAUGUGAAGAUGUACAAAGGAAACAAAUCAAUGUUCAGAGGUUGGAUGAGCUGGAGAGCUGGUAGGAUAGAAAACAAGCAUCCCCAGUGCCUAGAACAGAAAUAUUUGCUGAAGGAUGAAUACCACAGGCCCUGUCUGUGGACUGAGUCAGAAUCAGAACUCAGAAAGAGCCACUCCUGCGGUGUAAAAACUUGAAAAGCAAGAUUUUCUGAAGCCAAGGUGCACGUCCAGGGCCAGAGCUGGGUUGCUGAGUGCCACGUUCAAGUGGGGAACAUUCCAGAAGGUGGAGGGCUCUUUCCAGACAAAGUUGGAAAAGGAUCUUGGAGGAAAAUAAAAUCCAUCCUGGGCUUCACAGUCUCUUCAGCCUUGUGGGAAAUCCUCCUCAGCACCUGCUACUCACCUGUCUUUCACAUCUAGCCCAGCUUCUCCUUACUUCAAAGCCACUGGGUUCCUCUCAUCCAUCUUGCCAUUGACUGGGAGAGUUGAUUUACAUUCAACAACAAAAACUAAUACCUUGAGUUUUGAGGAGGACUUGCCACACAGACCUGUCAGAGGAAGAGAAGCAGAAGUCACGGCUUCUACUCUGAGGCCUGGGACAUCGCAGGCCGCAUCCUGGGAGAGGAACACAGAGGUGCCCGGGCUGUGGAGUCCACCUGCCACUGACCAGCUGGGUGACCAUGGGCAUGUAACCUUAUUUCU